rnacentral:RNase_P_RNA from 1 species
CGAAGUAGACCAGAUGGCCGCUGCCUGUUCACAGGGAGAGGAAAGUCCGGGCUCCAUAGGGCAUGGUGCUGGAUAACGUCCAGCGGGGGUGACCCCAGGGAAAGUGCCACAGAGAGAAGUCCGCCCGCCCAGGCGGGUAAGGGUGAAAGGGUGAGGUAAGAGCUCACCGGGUCCGGCGGUGACGUCGGAUGCCAGGUAAACCCCACCAGGAGCAAGGCCUAAUAGGGAAGCGUCAAGGACGGCCCGUCCGUGCUUCCGGGUUGGCUGCUGGAGGCCGUCGGCAACGGCGGCCCUAGAGGAAUGGUCAUCGCCCGGUGCCGGGUAACCGGCACCGGGAACAGAACCCGGCUUAUGGGCUGCUUCGGCCA